rnacentral:rRNA from 1 species
GUUGUAUAGUCAAGUAAUUAAGUGCAUGUGGUGGAUGCCUUGGCAGUCAGAGGCGAUGAAAGACGUGAUAGCCUGCGAAAAGCUCCGGGGAGGCGGCAAAUAUCCUUUGAUCCGGAGAUGUCUGAAUGGGGGAACCCACCUACUUUAAGGUAGGUAUUGCAACAUGAAUACAUAGUGUUGCAAGGCGAACGAGGGGAAGUGAAACAUCUCAGUACCCUUAGGAAAAGAAAUCAAUUGAGAUUCCCUCAGUAGCGGCGAGCGAACGGGGAUCAGCCCAUUAAGUUAUGUGUGUUUUAGUGGAACGCUCUGGGAAGUGCGAACGUAGAGGGUGAUAUUCCCGUACACGAAAGGGCACACAUAAUGAUGACGAGUAGGGCGAGGCACGUGAAACCUUGUCUGAAUAUGGGGGGACCAUCCUCCAAGGCUAAAUACUCCUGACUGACCGAUAGUGAACCAGUACCGUGAGGGAAAGGCGAAAAGAACCCCUGUGAGGGGAGUGAAAUAGAUCCUGAAACCGCAUGCAUACAAGCAGUGGGAGCACCUUCGUGGUGUGACUGCGUACCUUUUGUAUAAUGGGUCAGCGACUUAUAUUCAGUAGCGAGGUUAACCGUAUAGGGGAGCCGUAGAGAAAUCGAGUCUUAAUAGGGCGUUUAGUUGCUGGGUAUAGACCCGAAACCAGGCGAUCUAUCCAUGAGCAGGUUGAAGGUUGGGUAACACUAACUGGAGGACCGAACCCACUGUCGUUGAAAAGCCAGGGGAUGACUUGUGGAUAGGGGUGAAAGGCUAAUCAAGCCUGGUGAUAGCUGGUUCUCCCCGAAAGCUAUUUAGGUAGCGCCUCGGACGAAUACCAUAGGGGGUAGAGCACUGUUUCGGCUAGGGGGUCAUCCCGACUUACCAAACCGAUGCAAACUCCGAAUACCUAUGAGUACUAUCCGGGAGACAGACUGCGGGUGCUAACGUCCGUAGUCAAGAGGAAAACAAUCCAGACCGCCAGCUAAGGCCCCAAAAUCAUAGUUAAGUGGGAAACGAUGUGGGAAGGCAUAGACAGCUAGGAGGUUGGCUUAGAAGCAGCCACCCUUUAAAGAAAGCGUAAUAGCUCACUAGUCGAGUCGGCCUGCGCGGAAGAUGUAACGGGGCUAAAACUAUGUGCCGAAGCUGCGGAUNNNNNNNNNNNNNNNNNNNNNNNNNNNNNNNNNNNNNNNNNNAUGCUGGAGGUAUCAGAAGUGCGAAUGCUGACGUGAGUAACGACAAAACGGGUGAAAAACCCGUUCGCCGAAAGACCAAGGGUUCCAGUCCAACGUUAAUCGGGGCUGGGUGAGUCGACCCCUAAGGCGAGGCCGAAAGGCGUAGUCGAUGGGAAAAUGGUUAAUAUUCCAUUACUUCUGUGUAAUGCGAUGAGAGGACGGAGAAGGCUAAAUCAGCCUGGCGUUGGUUGUCCAGGUGAAAGGAUGUAGGCAUGUAUCUUAGGCAAAUCCGGGGUACUCUAUGCUGAGAUCUGAUAGCAAGCUGUACUUGUACAGCGAAGUGGUUGAUGCCAUGCUUCCAGGAAAAGUCUCUAAGCUUCAGUUACACAGGAAUCGUACCCGAAACCGACACAGGUGGUCAGGUCGAGUAGACCAAGGCGCUUGAGAGAACUCUGCUGAAGGAACUAGGCAAAAUGGUACCGUAACUUCGGGAGAAGGUACGCUGUUGUUGGUGAUGGAACUCGCUUCCUGAGCUGACGACAGCCGCAGAAACCAGGCCGCUGCAACUGUUUAUUAAAAACAUAGCACUCUGCAAACACGAAAGUGGACGUAUAGGGUGUGAUGCCUGCCCGGUGCUGGAAGGUUAAUUGAUGGGGUUAGCGUAAGCGAAGCUCUUGAUCGAAGCCCCAGUAAACGGCGGCCGUAACUAUAACGGUCCUAAGGUAGCGAAAUUCCUUGUCGGGUAAGUUCCGACCUGCACGAAUGGCAUAAUGAUGGCGGCGCUGUCUCCAGCAGAGGCUCAGUGAAAUCGAAAUCGCUGUGAAGAUGCAGUGUACCCGCGGCUAGACGGAAAGACCCCGUGAACCUUUACUGCAGCUUGACACUGAACUUUGACCUUACUUGUGUAGGAUAGGUGGGAGGCUUUGAAGCUGGAACGCUAGUUCCAGUGGAGCCGUCCUUGAAAUACCACCCUGGUAAUGUUGAGGUUCUAACUCUGUCCCGUGAUCCGGGACGAGGACCGUGUCUGGUGGGUAGUUUGACUGGGGCGGUCUCCUCCUAAAGAGUAACGGAGGAGUACGAAGGUGCGCUCAGCGUGGUCGGAAAUCACGCGUAGAGUAUAAAGGCAAAAGCGCGCUUAACUGCGAGACCCACAAGUCGAGCAGGUACGAAAGUAGGUCUUAGUGAUCCGGUGGUUCUGUAUGGAAGGGCCAUCGCUCAACGGAUAAAAGGUACUCUGGGGAUAACAGGCUGAUACCGCCCAAGAGUUCAUAUCGACGGCGGUGUUUGGCACCUCGAUGUCGGCUCAUCUCAUCCUGGGGCUGAAGCAGGUCCCAAGGGUAUGGCUGUUCGCCAUUUAAAGAGGUACGCGAGCUGGGUUUAGAACGUCGUGAGACAGUUCGGUCCCUAUCUACCGUGGGCGCUGGAAAUUUGAGAGGAUCUGCUCCUAGUACGAGAGGACCAGAGUGGACGAACCUCUGGUGUACCGGUUGUGACGCCAGUCGCAUCGCCGGGUAGCUAUGUUCGGAAGGGAUAACCGCUGAAAGCAUCUAAGCGGGAAGCCUACCUCAAGAUAAGAUUUCCCUAGGACUUUAUGUCCUCUAAAGAGCCGUUCGAGACUAGGACGUUGAUAGGUUGGAUGUGGAAGCAUAGUGAUAUGUGAAGCUGACCAAUACUAAUUGCUCGUGAGGCUUGACUAUACAACACCCAAGCAGUUG